rnacentral:tRNA from 1 species
GACCCGUUAGUUAAGGAACACCGAACUAUAGUUUCGAGAUUGCAAGGAUAAGUAAGCUGUUGCACGGGUUU